AGGUGACUAGUUUAAGAAAAACAUUUGAUUUCGGCUCAAAAGCUCGUGGUUAGAAUCCAUACUCACCUA
rnacentral:tRNA from 1 species